AGAGUUUGAUCAUGGCUCAGAUUGAACGCUGGCGGCAGGCUUAACACAUGCAAGUCGAGCGGGGGAAGGUAGCUUGCUACUGGACCUAGCGGCGGACGGGUGAGUAAUGCUUAGGAAUCUGCCUAUUAGUGGGGGACAACAUCUCGAAAGGGAUGCUAAUACCGCAUACGUCCUACGGGAGAAAGCAGGGGAUCUUCGGACCUUGCGCUAAUAGAUGAGCCUAAGUCGGAUUAGCUAGUUGGUGGGGUAAAGGCCUACCAAGGCGACGAUCUGUAGCGGGUCUGAGAGGAUGAUCCGCCACACUGGGACUGAGACACGGCCCAGACUCCUACGGGAGGCAGCAGUGGGGAAUAUUGGACAAUGGGGGGAACCCUGAUCCAGCCAUGCCGCGUGUGUGAAGAAGGCCUUAUGGUUGUAAAGCACUUUAAGCGAGGAGGAGGCUACUUUAGUUAAUACCUAGAGAUAGUGGACGUUACUCGCAGAAUAAGCACCGGCUAACUCUGUGCCAGCAGCCGCGGUAAUACAGAGGGUGCGAGCGUUAAUCGGAUUUACUGGGCGUAAAGCGUGCGUAGGCGGCUUAUUAAGUCGGAUGUGAAAUCCCCGAGCUUAACUUGGGAAUUGCAUUCGAUACUGGUGAGCUAGAGUAUGGGAGAGGAUGGUAGAAUUCCAGGUGUAGCGGUGAAAUGCGUAGAGAUCUGGAGGAAUACCGAUGGCGAAGGCAGCCAUCUGGCCUAAUACUGACGCUGAGGUACGAAAGCAUGGGGAGCAAACAGGAUUAGAUACCCUGGUAGUCCAUGCCGUAAACGAUGUCUACUAGCCGUUGGGGCCUUUGAGGCUUUAGUGGCGCAGCUAACGCGAUAAGUAGACCGCCUGGGGAGUACGGUCGCAAGACUAAAACUCAAAUGAAUUGACGGGGGCCCGCACAAGCGGUGGAGCAUGUGGUUUAAUUCGAUGCAACGCGAAGAACCUUACCUGGCCUUG
rnacentral:rRNA from 1 species